AGAGUUUGAUCCUGGCUCAGGAUUAACGCUGGCGGCAUGCCUAAUACAUGCAAGUUGAAUGCCUGUAGCAAUACAGAAACAUGGCGAACGGGUGAGUAAUACAUAAGUAACCUGCCCUGAUGAUGGGGAUAACACCUAGAAAUGGGUGCUAAUACCGAAUAAUCCAAUUUGGAAGGAAUUCUAGAUAGGGAAAGGAUCGCAAGAUCGCAUUAGGAUGGGCUUGUGGCGCAUUAGCUAGUUGGUGGGGUAAAGGCCUACCAAGGCAACGAUGCGUAGCCGACCUGAGAGGGCGAACGGCCACACUGGGACUGAGACACGGCCCAGACUCCUACGGGAGGCAGCAGUAGGGAAUUUUCGGCAAUGGGCGAAAGCCUGACCGAGCAAUGCCGCGUGAACGAAGAAGGUCUUCGGAUUGUAAAGUUCUUUUAUAAGGGAAGAAAAAAUAGGAUAGAAUCUUAUAUAUUGACGGUACCUUAAGAAUAAGCCACGGCUAACUACGUGCCAGCAGCCGCGGUAAUACGUAGGUGGCGAGCGUUAUCCGGAAUUAUUGGGCGUAAAGAGUGAGUAGGCGGUAUGUUAAGUUUAAAGUCAAAGGCUGUGGCUCAACCAUAGUUCGCUUUAAAACUGACAAACUAGAGUGCGAGAGAGGUUGAUGGAAUCCAUGUGUAGCGGUGAAAUGCGUAGAUAUAUGGAGGAACACCAGUGGCGAAGGCGGUCAACUGGCUCGUAACUGACGCUCAGUCACGAAAGCGUGGGGAGCAAUAGGAUUAGAUACCCUAGUAGUCCACGCCGUAAACGAUGAGUACUAAGUGUUGGAGAAAUUCAGUGCUGAAGUUAACAUAUUAAGUACUCCGCCUGAGUAGUACGUUCGCAAGAAUGAAACUUAAAGGAAUUGACGGGACCCCGCACAAGCGGUGGAGCAUGUGGUUUAAUUCGAAGCAACGCGAAAAACCUUACCAGGUCUUGACAUGACAUUAAAGGCCCUAGAGAUAGGGAGAUAGUUAUAGUGCACACAGGUGGUGCAUGGUUGUCGUCAGCUCGUGUCGUGAGAUGUUGGGUUAAGUCCCGCAACGAGCGCAACCCUGGUCCUUAUUUGCCAAUAUUAAGUUAGGAACUAUAAGGAGACUGCCGGUGAUAAAUCGGAGGAAGGUGGGGAUGACGUCAAAUCAUCAUGCCCCUUACGACCUGGGCUACACACGUGCUGCAAUGGCUGUUACAAAGGGAUGCGAAGCCGCGAGGUGGAGCGAAACCCAAAAAGGCAGUCCCAGUUCAGAUUGAAGUCUGCAACUCGACUUCAUGAAGACGGAAUCGCUAGUAAUCGUGAAUCAGCAUGUCACGGGAAUAAGUUCUGGGGGUUGUACACACCGCCCGUCA
rnacentral:rRNA from 1 species